GCAGAAGAGGAGAGUGGAACUCCAUGUGUAGAGGUGAAAUGCGUAGAUAUAUGGAAGAACACCAGUGGCGAAGGCGGCUCUCUGGUCUGCAACUGACGCUGAGGCUCGAAAGCGUGGGUAGCGAACAGGAUUAGAUACCCUGGUAGUCCAUGCCGUAAACGAUGAGUGCUAAGUGUUGGGAGGUUUCCGCCUCUCAGGGCUGCAGCUAACGCAUUAAUCACCCCCCCGGGGGAGUACGACCGCAAG
rnacentral:rRNA from 1 species